AAACUCAAAGGAAUUGACGGGGGAGCACACAACGGGUGGAGCCUGCGGUUCAAUUGGAUUCAACGCCGGAAAGCUUACCGGGUCGAGGAGGUGCAUGGCCGUCGUCAGUUCGUAUCGUGAGACAUCCUGUUAAGUCAGGCAACGAGCAAGACCCGUGCCCACAGUUGCCACACUGUGGGGACCGUCGCUGCUAAAGCGGAGGAAGGAGCGGGCUACGGUAGGUCAGUAUGCCCCGAAUCAUCCGGGCUACACGCGGGCUACAAUGGUUGGGACAAUGGGCACCUACACCGAGAGGUGAUGGUAAUCUCCUAAACCCAGCCUUAGUUCGGAUUGAGGGCUGCAACUCGCCCUCAUGAAGCCGGAAUCCGUAGUAAUCGCGUAUCAAAUCACGCGGUGAAUACGUCCCUGCUCCUUGCACACACCGCCCGU
rnacentral:rRNA from 1 species